UGGGAACGUGCCCAGAUCUAAGGAAUAGCCACUGGAAACGGUGAGUAAUACCUUAUACGCCCUUCGGGGAAAGAUUUAUCGGAUUUGGAUCGGCCCGCGUUAGAUUAGGUAGUUGGUGGGGUAACGGCCUACCAAGCCUACGAUCUAUAGCUGGUUUUAGAGGAUGAUCAGCAACACUGGGACUGAGACACGGCCCAGACUCCUACGGGAGGCAGCAGUGGGGAAUCUUGGACAAUGGGCGCAAGUGAUCCAGCCAUGCCGCGUGAGUGAUGAAGGCCUUAGGGUCGUAAAGCUCUUUCGCCAGGGAUGAUAAUGACAGUACCUGGUAAAGAAACCCCGGCUAACUCCGUGCCAGCAGCCGCGGUAAUACGGAGGGGGUUAGCGUUGUUCGGAAUUACUGGGCGUAAAGCGUACGUAGGCGGAUCAGAAAGUUGGGGGUGAAAUCCCGGGGCUCAACCCCGAACUGCCUCCAAAACUCCUGGUCUAGAGUUCGAGAGAGGUGAGUGGAAUUCCGAGUGUAGAGGUGAAAUUCGUAGAUAUUCGGAGGAACACCAGUGGCGAAGGGGCUCACUGGCUCGAUACUGACGCUGAGGUACGAAAGUGUGGGGAGCAAACAGGAUUAGAUACCCUGGUAGUCCACACCGUAAACGAUGAAUGCCAGUCGUCGGGUAGCAUGCUAUUCGGUGACACACCUAACGGAUUAAGCAUUCCGCCUGGGGAGUACGGUCGCAAGAUUAAAACUCAAAGGAAUUGACGGGGGCCC
rnacentral:rRNA from 1 species